rnacentral:piRNA from 1 species
UGCAGUCUUUCCAUGUGUCUCAUG